ACCUUAGCCUUAGAAGGGGGCUUUUUCAGAAAUCAGAUUUUUCAUAAGCCAAUAUUCCUUUCUCUCUCUAGAAGCCCUUUUCCCUAAAUUCUCUAUGCCUUCUCUCUAGAUUUUCAACUAAUUGAACUGUUCAAUCUUGGAUUUGAAGGUGCUCAAGCGUUCACCACACCGAAGGCUUCCUUUUGAUCUAAUUAUAUUUUCGAUUGGAUCGGUACUGUAAAUUCCUGUGCUGCAUAAAGUUGUUGUGANAGCGUCUCUUGUGAACUGUACUGUGAGAAACCAAGAAGAGAAUGAGGUGUCUGUGGAGAAUGUCGUGGAGGAGAAUGAAGACGUCGCUGCCUAGACUCUUUAGGAAUUUCUGGGCUGUUAUGCCCCUAUGAACAUUUCUAAAUUAUGCUAUUUUGAGACACUUUCCAAUUUAUCUAGUUUGAAUUAGUUUAGCAUUUCACGCUUUUAAUUCCCCCUUAAUUCCUGUAUGACUGUAAUCCUGAUCUUUAUACUACUCUACUCUUGACUGCUUUCAAAUAUUAUCUAUGAUGACGUCUUAAAUUAUAUACAUGUAUACUAUAUAAUUGGGAUGUCACA